rnacentral:rRNA from 1 species
AAUCUGGCUCCUUCGGGGUCCGAGUUGUAAUUUGCAGAGGAUGCUUCGGCGAACAGUCCGGGCCAAGUUCCCUGGAACGGGACGUCGUAGAGGGUGAGAGCCCCGUACCCGCCCGGAUUCCCUUCGCCCUGUGAAGCUCCUUCGACGAGUCGAGUUGUUUGGGAAUGCAGCUCUAAGCGGGAGGUAAAUUUCUUCUAAAGCUAAAUACCGGCCAGAGACCGAUAGCGCACAAGUAGAGUGAUCGAAAGAUGAAAAGCACUUUGGAAAGAGAGUCAAAUAGCACGUGAAAUUGUUGAAAGGGAAGCUCUUGCUGCCAGACUUGCCGCGGGUGCUCAGCCGUCCCUCGGGGCGGUGUACUCUCCUGCGGCGGGCCAGCGUCAGUUCGGGCGGCCGGAUAAAGGCUCGGGGAAUGUGGCCCCCCUCGGGGGGUGUUAUAGCCCCGGGUGCAAUGCGGCCUGCCCGGACUGAGGCUCGCGUUCGCUCGGACGCUGGCGUAAUGGUCGCAAGCGACCCGUCUUGAAACACGGACCAAGGAGUCUAACAUCUGUGCGAGUGUUCGGGUGUCAAACCCGUGCGCGUAAUGAAAGUGAACGGAGGUGGGAACCCGCAAGGGUGCACCAUCGACCGAUCCUGAUGUCUUCGGAUGGAUUUGAGUAGGAGCAUAGCUGUUGGGACCCGAAAGAUGGUGAACUAUGCGUGUUUAGGGUGAAGCCAGAGGAAACUCUGGUGGAGGCUCGCAGCGGUUCUGACGUGCAAAUCGAUCGUCAAAAAUGCGUAUAGGGG